UUACGGCCAUAUCACAUUAAAACAUCGAUUCUUGUACGAUCACCGAGGGUUAAACAACGUCGGGCCUGGUCAGUACCUAGAUGGGUGACCGCUUUGGAAUACCAGGUGCUGUUA